rnacentral:rRNA from 1 species
AACGAACGCUGGCGGCAUGCCUAACACAUGCAAGUCGAACGAGACCUUCGGGUCUAGUGGCGCACGGGGGUGUCACGCGUGGGAACCUGCCCAUAGGUUUGGAAUAACUCCCCGAAAGGGGUGCUAAUACCGGAUAAUGUCUUCGGACCAAAGAUUUAUCGCCCUUGGAUGGGCCCGCGUUGGAUUAGCUAGUGGGUAGGGUAAAAGCCUACCACGGCGACGAUCCAUAGCCGGUUUGAGAGGAUGGUCAGCCACACUGGGACUGAGACACGGCCCAGACUCCUACGGGAGGCAGCAGUGGCGGAUAUUGGACCGUGGGCGGAAUCCUGAUCCAGCUAUGACGCGUGAGUGAUGAAGGCCUUAGGGUUGUAAAGCUCUUUUACCCGGGAUGAUAAUGACAGUACCGGGAGAAUAAGCGCCGGCUAACUCCGUG